UGUGUUUUUCCACAGAGUGAAGACAACCCAUUUUGGCUGCCAGAACGACUCACCUGCAAGAUAUUCAUCAAGGAUGGUGUGGAAGAUGCUGACCUCCCAAGGACUGUUCCUGAUCUGAAUAUGUCUCAGGAAUAUGUUCCUGCUGAACUUGUCUCAGGGUUUCUUUGUGUAUUCCUGGCUGUCCUGGAACUGGUUUUGUAGACCAGGCUGGCCUUAAACUUAUAAAUGUCGGCAUGUCUCUGCUUUCUGAGGGCUGGAAUUAAAGGCAUGCACCACCACAUGAUGAACAAACUUUGUUCGAAAUAUAUUUUCAAGGUCCAGGGAACCAAAUCCCUCCUCUGCUAUGUGCUGACCCCAGCCACAUAUAUUGUGAAUAUAUCAUGUUGGAAAAACAAGCAAGAGCUACAGAGUGAGACCCUCAGGCUGUACCAAAUUUCAUCUGAAGUCAGUAGGUUAUGUCAAACCCUGAAGUUCCUGUGAAAAGUGCAGAUUCUGCCAAGGACCAGCCUCAGGUCAGUGAGUAUUUUCUGAGACAAGGAGUGUCUGAGAGCAGGAAAAAGAAACCAAAUCGUGGGUCUAAGCUUGCAGCCUGUGUUCUGCUGGAGGAAGCUUUCCAGCCGGCUUUCUCUCUGUUCUGCUUUUUUCUCCCCUCUGGCAGAUCUGAUUUCUCUGCAAAUCUCUAGACAGCUCUUGAGGUUUCCUUUUGAUUAUACUUUGAAUCAGCAUCCAAUAACCACAACCCCUUAAUUCUUAGGAAACAGGAAGAACAUAUUUUCUUUUAAC
rnacentral:lncRNA from 1 species